rnacentral:lncRNA from 1 species
UUUUUUUAUGUGGUAGACGUUGGCAGUUAUAAUCUUCCUUAUCUGGGGGGCAUCUGGGUGGUUCAGUCAGUUAAGCAUCUGACUCUUGAUUUCAACUCAGGUUAUGAUCUCAGGGUAGUGGGAUCAAGCGCCAUGACAGGCUCUAAACUCAGUGGGGAGUCUGAGAUUCUCUCUCUCCCUCUACACCUCCUCACUCUCUAAAAUAGUAAAUAAAUAAAUCUUUUAAAAAAACAUCUUCCUUAUCUGGAUUCAUGAGAAUUUGGCAUGAUCCUAAUAGAGCAAAACUUCUCCUGUGGAAGAGAAGGAGAAGGAGACAUUGAUAGUGAGGAAGUGGUCUUCCCAAAUACUCAUGAAAAUCCAUGCUGUUAGGCUCCCUACCUCUGUGAUGAAACUGGUAAGGAACUCAUCAGAACCUAGCUUGCUCAACAAAGCAAUCAGAAUAAAUCACAGGUCAGAAAAAAAGUAAACCUGAUAAUGCCUGGGAGUCUUUCAUUGAAAGAUAUUAACAGUGAGAAAUUCAAACAUGUCUUUUUCCCUCUUCCCAAAGAUUAAGUUUUAAUAUAGGUUAAUGUUGCUUCUGCCUGCUAUUUUUAAGAAAAAACUAUAAUGUGACUCCUAAAUCUUUAAAAUGUUUGCAUUUUCAAAGGUCUAAAAAUAAAUAUAUGCUCAUAUAACCUCAUACCAUAUAGAAAGAUUAACUCAAAAUGGAUCAAUGACCUAAAUAUAAGACCUAAAUGCUAUUAAACCAGAAAACAUAGGGCUGAACCCUGGGUGUGGUAAUAGAUUAUUAGAUAGAACACCAAAAGCACAAGCAGCAAAAAAAUAAAUACAUUUGGCUUCAUCAAAAUUAAAAACUUUUUUGUAUCAAAGGAUAUUAUCAAGAAAAUGAAAGGAAAAUAACAUAUAGAAUGAGGCAAAAUUGCAAAUUAUAGAUCUAACAAGGAUUUAAUAUCUAGAGUACAUAAAGAAUUCCUACAACUCAGUAACAAAAGACAAGCUAAUUCAAAAAUAGGUGAAGGUCUUAAAUAGAUAUUUCUCCAAAGAAGAUACACAAUUGACCAAUAAGUACAUGAAAAGAUGCUUAGCAUUCUUAGUCACUUGGGAAAUGCAAAUAAAAACCACAAUGAGUUACUACAUCAUACCUACUAGGAUGGAUAUAAUUUAAAAAAGUAAAGAAGCAAAAACAACAAGUAUUGGAGAGGACAUGAAGAAAUUGGAACAACUGGAACCCUUGGGCAUUGUUGGUAGGAAUGUAAAAUGGUGCAGCUGCUGUGGAAAACGGUUUAGGCAGUUACUAAAAAAGCUAUAAAAUUAUCAUAUGAUCCAGCAAUUCCACUCCUAGGUAACCCAUUCUCCAACUUUCAAUUCUAGCAACCACUGAUUUCUUUUCUUUCCUUACAGUUUUGCCUUCCAAAAUAUCAUAUAAAUAGAAUCACACAAUACAUUGCUUCUUAUGUCUGACUAAGCAAAAUUCAUUUAAGAUCUCCCUGUCUCACAUGAAUCAAUGGUUUCUUUUUAUUGCCUAGUUGUAUAUAUCAGUUUGUUUAUCCACUUACCUGCUGAUCCCUGAUUUCAUGGAUAAAUACCUUUGUAUAAUAGAAUUUUGAUACUAUAAGGCUAAAGACAGAAGGCUAAUAAAAAAUAAAUAAAAAAAAAAGACAGAAGGCUAAAAACAAAACACUGCACUCUAGUUGGUAAAUAUGUAUCUCACACAGGUCCAGUUUAGCAAUUCUAAAACUACUUUCCACACAUAUUAGAAUUGAACAAGUAAGUAAAUAUAUUGCAGACAAUGACAGCCAGGUUUGUUAUCUAUGAAAGAAAGAAAUUACAAACAAGCAAAGGGGAAUGCCAGAAUAAACCCCGUGGUAACAGUCUGGAAUUAAAGAUACCAGUAUGAACCAAUGUUUAUUUUAAUAUAUAUACACAGAUGAAUAUAUAAAGAAAUAGAUACAGGGUUAAAAUACAUACAAACAUAUAUGCUAGCUCUACACACUGAGAGGGUCUAGAAAUAAUGACUCUCUAGUUGCAACAAGAACACCAAAAGGCCAGAUUCGGGUUUCUAAAUAUCAUUCUCCAAUCAAAGGAUCCACAAUUCUUAAAAAAUUAUAGAUUCUUGGGUUAGAGCACAGAAAACACAAGAGAAAAGCCAGGAGAAGCAUCUUAGAGUGCCAGAAAGUAAGUUAGUGCUUAAAAAGAAAACAAGAUAUGGGUUCCUUGAAGUGACACAGGAACUAACUCUUAGGAGCACCUGAUGGUCAGAUCUGGGAUAAUUUGAACAAUGCAAUAAACAAUGAUAAUAAUUAUAACCCAAAAAAUAAAAUAAUAUCCUGGGGGAUCCCUGGGUGGCUCAGCGGUUUGGCGCCUGCCUUUGGCCCAGGGCGCGAUCCCGGAGUCCCAGGAUCGAGUCCCACGUCAGGCUCCCAGCAUGGAGCCUGCUUCUCCCUCUGCCUGUGUCUCUGCCUCUCUCUCCUCUCUCUGUGACUAUCAUGAAUAAAUAAAUAAAUAAUAUUUUUAAAAAAUAGAUAAAUAAAUAAAUAUCCAAAAGUCAAUAAAUAUCCCUGAGACUAUACUGAUACAAAUACACAAGUGAGUGAAUAAAUGAAAAGAGGCAAUUCUUCCUACAGAAGAAUUAAAUUACAGGAAGAAAGGGGGAAAUGGAACAUCAUCAUUAGCUGUUGGCUUUAAAAAAACAAACCAAUAAAUAAAAAAACAGCCAGUCAUUGCACUAGCAAAAUGAGUUUAUUCAAGAAUAGCAGAGAAUCGUAGUGCGGGACAAGCAAACUAUGGAGAAUGAUAGGCAAGUCCAGAGAACAGAAGAGGGGGGUCUGCUUUUAUGGAGGAAAGGAAGAAGCUAGAAGGGGCUGUUUUCAAAGGAUUCAGGGUAGCAACACCUUUCAACAGCAGAAUGUGGCAGUUUCUCAAUGGCUGGGUUGUUGCUGGACAAGGUGAAACUCUUCCUUGUACUGGGGUAUUUACAUAUCUAAGUUUCCUCCUGAUUAUGGUCUGAGUGAUAGUGUGUGAGAGCUUCCCCUUCAGGAUUUUUGGACUCCAUCUUUAAUGAGGUUUCCAUUAUUUGUUUUCACAGUACCAAAGUAAUAAUUGCUACAGGCAACAUCCACUGAUGAAUACUAAAAUUUGUAAGUGAAACUUUAGAGAGAAACAGGGUAUCCACAUGGCCUCAUAAUAUCUCUCAUCAAAUAUUUAUUAAUAACUGUGAUAACUGUGGUGCUUUUAACAUAUGUCUCCAAUUUCUUAAAUACUCCCUCUAGGAGAUGGGUCUUAGAUCCCCUAGACUGGACUUAAUAACUCCAGUGGUCUAGACUUGGCAACUUGCUCCAAAGAACCAAGUAUGGAAAGAGAAAAAUUGAAACUUUACAGUGGAGAUACCUGGCCACACAACCUAUACCAAGUGAUAAAGGCUAAGAUCACCAUUAAUAAGAUAUUGAUUUCAUUUACCCCAAAUCUGCAACCUCAGUCUUACCAUGUAAAAAAAAAGCAAACCCAACCUGAAGAACACACUACAAUACAUCUAACCAGUACUCUUCAAAAGUAAUUAAAGACAAAAAAAAUCUCAGGAGCUGUCACAGAUUGAAGGAGAAUAAGGAGAUGUGACAACUAUAGGCAGUGUGGUAUUCUGACCUGAAUUGUGGAACAGAAAAAAAGCCUGAAAUACCUCUGAAAUAACAGAAAUACAAAUAGUCUGUAGUUAAUUGCAUUUGUUGAACCAAAAUUAAUUUCCUAGUUUUGAUCACUGUACCAUGACUACAUGAAAUGUUAACAUGUAGUUAACAGGUAGCUGGGUAGAGAGUAUAUAGGAACUAUCAGUAGCAUCUCUAAAACUCUUCUGUAAAUCUAAAAUUAUCAAAAUAAAAAGUUUAAUUUUUUUUUUAGCUUCAGGUAAAACUACGGGCUUACACUCAGUACUUGAAAUCAGUGGGUCUCACUCCCAGAUGACUUAAACUAAAAAUAAAAACAUAUCGGUAUUAACCAGUUGUAACUCACCUGUGCAGUUUGAACAUAUAAGUUGCCCAAACUAAAAUCUCCCAGGAAUUUGGUUAGGUUAUCUGUCUCAUUGUUGCUCUAUGAGAUGGCCCUACACAACCAGCUGCAGACCCCAGAGUACACAAAGAAGAAUCAAUCCCUUCCUCCUCCUAGCCACUGCAUCAUGGAUAUAGAUUAGCACUGGUGGGUGGAUGACUGAGGUGGGAUGAAGCAAAUGGAAGUGGGAUGAAGCAAAUGGAAGUUGGUAAUUGGCACUUUGUAAAAAGAUGCUUAAAGCAUAAAGAAUGCAGUUAUGUUCACCUCAGCACUUUCUCCUUACCUAAAAUGCAUGUAGCAUUCAGGUACACAACUAUCUUUAGGACAAUGCAGGGGAUAUUAUCUGGUUUACAGUCCUUUUAUUCCCUGAAUUAUUCCUACCUGAUUAUAUACAAACUAUACAUCCCUACUAGUCUCUUUUUUACAACAUCUAGAACAGGGAUUUCCAAAGUGUCACUUCUAGGACUACAUAAAGAAUUAAAUGAGGUCGAGGGGUGAGCAGGAAUUUUUGAACUUUGAAUAUUUCCAAAAAAUCAAUGAGUACAUUAAUUUACCUGUAAUAAAGCUGCCCAGAAUAAUAUAACUUUCAUUUGCUAUAGCUGGAAUCAUGGCAACUCAGCAUGAACCAAAGUGCUGAUUGACAGACAUCUUUUUUAUUUGUAAAAGCAGGGAGAUAAAUUAACUAUUAAUAAAUGACUUCUGUUAAUAGGCAAAAAAAAAAAA